rnacentral:rRNA from 1 species
GUCGAACGAGAAAGUCUCCGCAAGGGGAUGAGUAAAGUGGCGACCGGGUGAGUAACACGUGGAUUAUCUGCCCUGGAGUGGGGAAUAACGCUGGGAAACCGGCGCUAAUACCGCAUAUUCCCGAGAGGGGAAAGCAGCAAUGCGCUCGAGGAGGAGUCCGCGGCUGAUUAGCUAGUUGGUAGGGUAACGGCCUACCAAGGCUAUGAUCGGUAACCGGCCUGAGAGGGCACACGGCCACACUGGCACUGAAACACGGGCCAGACUCCUACGGGAGGCAGCAGUGGGGAAUCUUGCACAAUGGGGGCAACCCUGAUGCAGCGACGCCGCGUGAGCGAUGAAGCCCUUCGGGGUGUAAAGCUCUUUCGGCAGGGAAGAUAAUGACGGUACCUGCAGAAGCAGCUGCGGCUAACUACGUGCCAGCAGCCGCGGCAAUACGUAGGCAGCAAGCGUUGUUCGGAGUUACUGGGCGUAAAGGGCGUGUAGGCGGCCUUCUAAGUUUGGUGUGAAAUCUCCCGGCUCAACCGGGAGGGUGCGCCGAAGACUGGGGGGCUAGAGUGCGGGAUGGGAGAGUAGAAUUCCUGGUGUAGCGGUGAAAUGCGUAGAUAUCAGGAGGAAUACCUGUNGGUGUAGACGGCUCUCUGGACCGCAACUGACGCUGAGACACGAAAGCGUGGGUAGCAAACAGGAUUAGAUACCCUGGUAGUCCACGCCCUAAACGAUGCAUAUUUUGGUGUANGUCAUUCAGUUGAUCUGUGCCGGAGCUAACGCGUUAAAUAUGCCCGCCUGGGGAGUACAGUCGCAAGACUGAAACUCAAAAGGAAUUGACGGGGGCCC